UGGGGAAUUUUGGACAAUGGGCGAAAGCCUGAUCCAGCAAUGCCGCGUGUGUGAAGAAGGCCUUCGGGUUGUAAAGCACUUUUGUCCGGAAAGAAAUCCUUGGCUCUAAUACAGUCGGGGGAUGACGGUCCGGAAGAAUAAGCACCGGCUAACUACGUGCCAGCAGCCGCGGUAAUACGUAGGGUGCAAGCGUUAAUCGGAAUUACUGGGCGUAAAGCGUGCGCAGGCGGUUUGCUAAGACCGAUGUGAAAUCCCCGGGCUCAACUAGGAACUGCAUUGGUGACUGGCAGGCUAGAGUAUGGCAGAGGGGGGUAGAAUUCCACGUGUAGCAGUGAAAUGCGUAGAGAUGGUGGAGGAAUACCGAUGGCGAAGGCGAGCCCC
rnacentral:rRNA from 1 species